rfam:Triticum aestivum genome assembly, contig: Triticum_aestivum_CS42_TGACv1_scaffold_485481_6AS
UGUUUGCUGUGACGAAUCACAAGGACGGUAUCUGAGUAAGGGUGGCUCUUGAAAAAGUCCUCCUUCAUUGAUUACACAUCCUAAACUGAUCAUACAUUCUGAGCAAACA